rnacentral:tRNA from 4 species
GGUCUGGUGGUCUAGUGGUAUGAUUCUCGCUUAGGGUACACCCUACAGCACAGCUUGCGAGAGGUCCCGGGUUCAAUCCCCGGCCAGACCC